rnacentral:tRNA from 1 species
AAUUCAAAAUAACGACUGGAUAGAUUCGGACAGUUUUUAUUUAAAUAAAAAACGUGGAACAUUG